rnacentral:rRNA from 1 species
GACCUCAGAUCAGGUAGGAAUACCCGCUGAACUUAAGCAUAUCAAUAAGCGGAGGAAAAGAAACCAACAGGGAUUGCCCUAGUAACGGCGAGUGAAGCGGCAACAGCUCAAAUUUGAAAUCUGGCCUCACGGUCCGAAUUGUAAUUUGUAGAGGAUGUUUCUGGCGACGUGUCUUCCGAGUUCCCUGGAACGGGACGCCAUAGAGGGUGAGAGCCCCGUCCGGUCGUACACCUAGCCUCUGUGAAACUCCUUCGACGAGUCGAGUAGUUUGGGAAUGCUGCUCUAAAUGGGAGGUAUACGUCUUCUAAAGCUAAAUACCGGCCAGAGACCGAUAGCGCACAAGUAGAGUGAUCGAAAGAUGAAAAGCACUUUGAAAAGAGGGUUAAAUAGUACGUGAAAUUGCUGAAAGGGAA